GAUGAACGCUAGCGGCAGGCCUAAUACAUGCAAGUCGGACGGUAGACGAUCUUUCGGGAUUGUUGAGAGUGGCGCACGGGUGCGUAACGCGUAUGCAACCUACCUUAUACUGUGGGAUAGCCCGGGGAAACCCGGAUUAAUACCGCAUGGUACCAUUAGAAGGCAUCUGAAGAUGGUUAAAGCCCCGGCAUCUGUCGGGGCGGUAUAAGAUGGGCCCGCGUCGGAUUAGGUAGUUGGUGGGGUAAAGGCCUACCAAGCCGACGAUCCGUAGCUGGUCUGAGAGGAUGAUCAGCCACACUGGGACUGAGACACGGCCCAGACUCCUACGGGAGGCAGCAGUGGGGAAUAUUGGACAAUGGGCGCAAGCCUGAUCCAGCAAUGCCGCGUGAGUGAUGAAGGCCUUAGGGUUGUAAAGCUCUUUCACCCACGACGAUGAUGACGGUAGUGGGAGAAGAAGCCCCGGCUAACUUCGUGCCAGCAGCCGCGGUAAAUA
rnacentral:rRNA from 1 species